GAUGAACGCUAGCUACAGGCUUAACACAUGCAAGUCGAGGGGAAACGAUAUUGGAAGCUUGCUUCCGAUAGGCGUCGACCGGCGCACGGGUGAGUAACGCGUAUCCAACCUGCCCACCACUUGGGGAUAACCUUGCGAAAGUAAGACUAAUACCCAAUGACGUCUCUAGAAGACAUCUGAAAGAGAUUAAAGAUUUAUCGGUGAUGGAUGGGGAUGCGUCUGAUUAGCUUGUUGGCGGGGUAACGGCCCACCAAGGCGACGAUCAGUAGGGGUUCUGAGAGGAAGGUCCCCCACAUUGGAACUGAGACACGGUCCAAACUCCUACGGGAGGCAGCAGUGAGGAAUAUUGGUCAAUGGGCGAGAGCCUGAACCAGCCAAGUAGCGUGAAGGAUGACGGCCCUACGGGUUGUAAACUUCUUUUGUGCGGGAAUAAAGGAGCCUACGUGUAGGCUUUUGCAUGUACCGUAACGAAUAAGCAUCGGCUAACUCCGUGCCAGCAGCCGCGGUAAUACGGAGGAUGCGAGCGUUAUCCGGAUUUAUUGGGUUUAAAGGGAGCGCAGACGGGUCGUUAAGUCAGCUGUGAAAGUUUGGGGCUCAACCUUAAAAUUGCAGUUGAUACUAGCGUCCUUGAGUGCGGUUGAGGUGUGCGGAAUUCGUGGUGUAGCGGUGAAAUGCUUAGAUAUCACGAAGAACUCCGAUUGCGAAGGCAGCACACUAAGCCGUAACUGACGUUCAUGCUCAAAAGUGUGGGUAUCAAACCAGG
rnacentral:rRNA from 1 species